GGGGAUAUAGCUCAGUGGUAGAGCACGUGCUUUGCGUGUAUGAGGUCCUGGGUUCGAUCCCUAGCAUUUCCA